rnacentral:rRNA from 1 species
UACGUAGGGGGCAAGCGUUGUCCGGAUUUAUUGGGCGUAAAGCGCGUGUAGGCGGCCCUGCAAGUCGGGUGUGAAAUCCCACGGCUCAACCGUGGAAGUGCACUCGAAACUGCAGGGCUAGAGUCCUGGAGAGGAAGGUGGAAUGCUUGGUGUAGAGGUGAAAUUCGUAGAUAUCAAGCGGAACACCGGUGGCGAAGGCGGCCUUCUGGACAGUGACUGACGCUGAGACGCGAAAGCGUGGGGAGCAAACAGG